rnacentral:lncRNA from 1 species
CUUCCCUUCGCAUAACCGACUCCCGAUCCCAUUCUCUUUGGUCGCGAGACCAUGUCUUUCCCAGGUUUACUUCGAGUGUUUCCUUUCCCUCUUUUGGGAUAAAUAACGCACGGUGGCGGCUCUGUUAUUUUGUUUUCCCGCCGGUUUUUCGCGUAAUGCGACAAGUUCCUUUGAAAUAAAAAGAAAAAAAAACAAAUCAUGUGCAUAAGCAGGUUUUGU